AUNAGACCGCAUGGUCUUAUUAUUAAAGAAUUUCGGUUAUCGAUGGGGAUGCGUUCCAUUAGGCAGUUGGUGAGGUAACGGCUCACCAAACCUUCGAUGGAUAGGGGUUCUGAGAGGAAGGUCCCCCACAUUGGAACUGAGACACGGUCCAAACUCCUACGGGAGGCAGCAGUGAGGAAUAUUGGUCAAUGGGCGCAGGCCUGAACCAGCCAAGUAGCGUGAAGGAUGACUGCCCUAUGGGUUGUAAACUUCUUUUAUAUGGGAAUAAAGUUUUCCACGUGUGGAAUUUUGUAUGUACCAUAUGAAUAAGGAUCGGCUAACUCCGUGCCAGCAGCCGCGGUAAUACGGAGGAUCCGAGCGUUAUCCGGAUUUAUUGGGUUUAAAGGGAGCGUAGGUGGACAGUUAAGUCAGUUGUGAAAGUUUGCGGCUCAACCGUAAAAUUGCAGUUGAUACUGGCUGUCUUGAGUACAGUAGAGGUGGGCGGAAUUCGUGGUGUAGCGGUGAAAUGCUUAGAUAUCACGAAGAACUCCGAUUGCGAAGGCAGCUCACUGGACUGCGAACUGACACUGAUGCUCGAAAGUGUGGGUAUCAAACUAGGAUUAGAUACCCUGGUAGUCCACACWNGUAAACGAUGAAUACUCGCUGUUUGCGAUAUACAGUAAGCGGCCAAGCGAAAGCAUUAAGUAUUCCACCUGGGGAGUACGCCGGCAACGGUGAAACUCAAAGGAAUUGACGGGGGCCCGCACAAGCGGAGGAACAUGUGGUUUAAUUCGAUGAUACGCGAGGAACCUUACCCGGGCUUAAAUUGCAUUUGAAUAUAUUGGAAACAGUAUAGCCGUAAGGCAAAUGUGAAGGUGCUGCAUGGUUGUCGUCAGCUCGUGCCGUGAGGUGUCGGCUUAAGUGCCAUAACGAGCGCAACCCUUAUCUUUAGUUACUAACAGGUCAUGCUGAGGACUCUAGAGAGACUGCCGUCGUAAGAUGUGAGGAAGGUGGGGAUGACGUCAAAUCAGCACGGCCCUUACGUCCGGGGCUACACACGUGUUACAAUGGGGGGUACAGAAGGCAGCUACCUGGUGACAGGAUGCUAAUCCCAAAAGCC
rnacentral:rRNA from 1 species